UAUUAAUAAACCACAUAACUGGUCGCUGAUAGACACAUUCAUCUUAUGCCUUAUCUUCCGAAGAAUGUAACAUGCACGUUAUUGCUGACGUUUUACAUAAUAUCGCAUACGUGCGCACUCUCGUAGAUUCACAACUCAAACCACAAAACUGUCAAGACCUGUUAUAUCACAAGCGCAAAAGUGAAAACCGUCAAACUCAUUACCGGGAUCACAUUUUCCUGCGUAAUCUUCGCGUGUUAUCAGAACUGAACCGAGUAGAAAAAAAAAGAAAAAAAGAAAGAACCUAGGAAAUGCGAAACAAUAUAUCAAAUGGGCGUGCGAUUGGUUAAUAACAGCGUGUUCGUUGUAAAUGACUGGCAACGACGGUUGAUAAUUAGACCUUAGACCGGCACUUUCCUGGUAGAUACACGAGAGAGAUUAGCCAGUUAAAAGUACGCGAAAUCUCGUCUCGAUAACGCCGGUGAACCCUGAUGAACGCUGAUGAACACUGGUUCCCUAUGGUUCUGUAAUAAGCUACCGAUCUACCGCUACCUUCGCCAGUUUAUUCGUCUUCACGCGCCGUCGUAUAAUUACGGAGAAAGUACGCGAAGGAUGUUUCCAGUACGUUUUAUUACUGCGAAAGAGAAGAUUCGUACCCCUACUCGCGUUGCGCAACUCGUUGUACGACAAUUUUAUGGAGUGGCAGAGAGAUAACGGCGCCACAUGGUAUAUUGCGGGGUGAAAGAUCAGUCCCGUGUGAAGAAAUAUAUCCACGGAUUAUCUAAUAAUAAAUUGGAAACCGAUUGGAAAGAUCUUAUUAACUUAGGUGAUGGGCGAUACAUAAUCCUAAACGAUUUAAGCAGGUCGUUCCACGGUACAUUACGAUAGAAACCGAAUGUUCGUGCGAAUCAGAUCUGAAAUAUAAAUUUAAACAGAAUGUUUAAGAAUAUAUAGAAUAUAGAGAUCUAAGAUAAAAAUACUUUUACCGCCCGCGAAAAAUAUAUCUGUCCAGAAAUUAAUACGCCAUGGUAUAUACGAUAGUCCUCAACUCGUGACAGAUACAUCAAAAUAAAAUAACACCAAAAAAACAUUCCUCAGUUUUUUUACUCCGUGAAAGUCCUUUCACAGUUGGGCGGAUCCUGAACUUUCAGACCUAACCGCGUAUGAUAAUCGCCUUUCUGUUUAAGAUACCCCGACUGAAGCAUCCCCGACAGAUGAAAUCCGGUUUGAAAAAGGAACGAACCAUCCAACGGACGCCUAUGUUCUUUUAAAAAGCUAUUUUCAGGCCUCUCAUAAUUACAGACCUUCCGACAUCGGCCCUGAACUAUAAUGCACGCGGUGUGCCAAAUUCCUCCUGGCAGAAUGUUUCAAAAACGCGCCAGCCGCGUAUAAAUCUUCCCUGAGGAGAAGGAAGAAUCGAAGGGACCCCAUAGAAGUCGUCAAGCAUGGACGACGACCAGUUUAUCUAACGCGUCCUGCCAGCUGCUACGCGUCGAAAUUUAUCGGAUUUAUCCAGCGUCGCGUCGCCUUUUAGAUUCGACUCGGAUAGGACGAUACUUACGAGACUCACGAGGUCCGAGCGAAUGGAAGAAGCUUACGAAACAUAUUGGGUGACCGGGGGUCUGGUCCUUAAAUAACACCACGAUCCUACACUCUUUUUUUUUUUUUGUUAAAAUAUUUCAGGUUCUCCAAUUAUGUUACGCCUUUAGUGGACGCGAUAAAUUGUGAGCUUAUUUUCUUUGUGACUACGCCUAUGAGAUGGAGCUGUUUUAGUCGUGUUUGAAUUUUUACGAAGCGUUUCCUAGGUGGAAUUUUGUUUGGACGGGAAUAUUAGAUCGUUUAAAUAAUAGGAAGAUAAUGAAUCACGGUACCUUCAUAAAUAUUAAAGAAUCUGAUGUCAUCGAAUAAUAAACUAGUCACCCAGAUAUUGAAGAUGAAAAAAUAGCAUUAACGGAAUUGUGGAAUGCCCGAGGGUAGUCCCGACGGUGCACCGUGCCAAGGAUUUUGCAAACGAGCUGCGCAUGCAUACUCGCGCCAUAAAGGAAGUAUAAAAGGAAACGCUUCAAUGGCAUUUACAACCAUGAAAUUUACGAUUCGUCGGUGUUCGCGGCGUGCUUUCGUUUGCGCGGCGUUGCUGGUGGUACUUUGGUCUGAUAUUCCCGAUAGAACCGCGGAGCUUUCUAAAUUGACGUAAUACUUUAUCCCGUCGGAGAUUUAUGACGGAACGCUUGAGGUAGCAAGUCCUGAAAGAUUAGUUUUCUGCGGUACAGGAGAAUUUUCACGAGUAAAGCGUACCGUUUGACGCCUUUUAAAAAGGAUAUUCUCAGUGGAUCACUGUCCUUGGAGCAAUAUUUCAUAAAUUGUUUUAAUCGUUGCAUUUUAUAAUAGAUUUCAAAUGAAUAUUUUACUUGUAAAAGCUACAUUGAAACUGAAAACGUAGAUAUAGAAGUUCCAAAAUUACUUAAAAAUUUACCUUAAAAGUCACGUUCAAGAAAAUUCGAGAAAGCGAGAUAUCGAUCAAGAUAUCUUAUCGACGACCUUAAACGCUCGACCUGUCGCGAAGCUCGGAGUUCAUCAUUCCACGAAUCGAAAAACCCGUCCGAGCUUCCUUGGAAGCGCGCGCAUAAUGUCUGCGCGUUUCCAUAAUCUCAGCUGCGCACGUGGAAACGGUUCGAAAAGGGCAUAGACAGGGAACCGCUGCGCAUUUCUGCCUUGGUCACCAAUAAAUAUCGAACUUUCAUUUGCAGAUACCGUGGCUGCGUUCGGUGCAGCGCUGCAUUUCACUGGAUUGCCUUAUGCAGACAAAAGGUCCGCCACCGUCGGACACCAUACGUUGAUACUGUUCCCCGUGGUAAAAAGCUGAGGCUAAGAGCUAUUGACACGAGGUGAAAGAUCCGUUCUUUAACCGUCCGACGAUAACAAUUCAUCUCUUAAUCGGAAAUGUUCGUGUUCGCUAAGCGUCAGGGUGGUUCUUAUUUUAACGAUUAUCGAUAUCUAUGUUACGCACCCCCUAAAUACCUUGCAAAUAGAUAAAUCGGUUGCGUAUACAAAAAUUCCUGCGAAAUUUAAGCUCCAAAUUAUCUAUUGUAGUUCAACAUAUUAUAUUCUGAUUUAAGACGAGGUUUUAUGCGAAGUCCUCUAAGAAGCUUCUAUAAUGUA